UUUGUGCUCCAAGCCCGAUCAGCCUAGUCCUUCUGUUGACGUCACUUGCGAAGAGCAGGCGAUGCAAAACAAAGUGAAGUUGGCUGAAGUGGAAGCUGUAGCUGUUACCAGCGGUGAGGGAGUUACACAUCGCUGCCUGAGCUCCUGAGGCUGUGCGCUCCGCCCCUACUAGACAAGCAAGGAGGCAGCAAGAUGAGAAAAUGAUGACGGAGGACUUCUUAGUUCUUAAACUUCUAAGUCUGGGCAUGGAUUCAAGCAAUUGCAUGGAUUUAAACCAUUUUGUGGAUGGACCAAUGACUGGAAUCUAUUCAAUCACUUGGUCAUUGUAAUUAUGCCACAUAAACGCCUAGACGCCUAGACACGAUUGAUGAUAUGAUAAUUAUUUAUGGUUAACGAAAAACGAUUAGAAAUUUUGACACCAUUUGUCAUUUCAACCAGUUAUCCUUUUAUAUUACUUUAAUUCUCCCAUUUAUCUCCAUAUUAGUCCCCUUAGUUAUUGCAUCCGUUAGUUAUAUUACAUUGUAGCCAAAUUUGGCUUAAAAGGA